AGCCUCAUUCCCAAUAAAAAUGGGCACUGAUGAUCAGUGUUCAAAUUUGGUCAAUGUGGCUAAAUUAACACACAAGUCAUGCUUCCAUCACAGUAAGUGCCUUACAGUAGUGACAAUGAGACCUGUAACACUU
rnacentral:snoRNA from 1 species